AUGUCGGGAGUCCUUGAUGUCCUGCAAAUGAAGGAGGAGGAUGCCCUCUAGUUCCUAGUAGCUGGAACCUGCUAGGUGGCACCAACCCUUCCAAAUGGAACAGUAUAUCUAUAAAAGGAAAACUGAUGGCAUCUACAUCCUAAAUCUGAAGAGGACCUGGGAGAAGCUUCUGCUGACAGCUUAUGCCAUUGUUGCCCUUGAAAACCCUGCUGAUGUCAAUGUCAGGUCGUCCAGGAAUCCUGGCCAGUGGGCUGUGCUGAAGUUCGCUGCUGCCACUGGAGCUACUCCUAUUGCUGGUCACUUCACUACUGAAAUCCUCACUAACCAGAUCCAGGCAGCCUUCUGGAAGCCACGGCUUCUGGUUACUGAUCUCAGGGCUGACCAUCAGCCUCUCACAGAAGCAUCUUGUGUUAACCUGACUAUCAUUACUCUAUGAAGCACAUAUUCUUCUCUGUGCUGUGUGGACAUUUUCAUUCCAUGCAGCAAAAAUGUAGCUCACUUAGUGGGUUUGAUGUGGUGGAUGCUG
rnacentral:lncRNA from 1 species